GGGAAAGGUGUUUUUUGCCUGGACUAUCGGGUCCGAUUCACCUGUCCAAAGUCCUUCUGUGCUGCUUGCAAGACCAGAUGGUUUAACAGGGACCAUCCCACUGCAACGGGGGACUACGAACUGCUCUAUUAUCUUCGAAUAGCCCAUCCCGGAGCUAUUUGCUUAAAUCCAAUUGCUCUCGAGGUGCAAACUCUGCAAGGAAUCCCUGCUUCUGAGACUGGACAGAAAUUUGCCUGCAAUGACGUGGUCAACGGGUUUGCUUGCAUCAAUGCCCACCAGGGGAAGGGGGUCUUCUGCCAUGAUUAUAAAGUGCGGUUCACCUGCCCAGAAUCCUUCUGUUCAGGUGAGUCUCCAUAG